UACGUAGGGGGCAAGCGUUGUCCGGAUUUAUUGGGCGUAAAGAGCGUGUAGGCGGUCAGGUAGGUCAGCUGUGAAAACUCGAGGCUCAACCUCGAGACGCCGGUUGAAACCAUCUGACUAGAGUCCGGAAGAGGAGAGUGGAAUUCCUGGUGUAGCGGUGAAAUGCGCAGAUAUCAGGAAGAACACCCGUGGCUAAGGCGGCUCUCUAGUACGGUACUGACGCUGAGACGCGAAAGCGUGGGGAGCGAACAGG
rnacentral:rRNA from 1 species